rnacentral:rRNA from 1 species
GAUGAACGCUGGCGGCGUGCUUAACACAUGCAAGUCGAACGAAGCAUUUAGAACGGAUUACUUCGGUUUGAAGUUCUUUAUGACUGAGUGGCGGACGGGUGAGUAACGCGUGGGUAACCUGCCUUGUACUGGGGGAUAGCAGCUGGAAACGGCUGGUAAUACCGCAUAAGCGCACAAUGUUGCAUGACAUGGUGUGAAAAACUCCGGUGGUAUAAGAUGGACCCGCGUCUGAUUAGCUAGUUGGUGAGAUAACAGCCCACCAAGGCGACGAUCAGUAGCCGACCUGAGAGGGUGACCGGCCACAUUGGGGCUGAGACACGGCCCAGACUCCUACGGGAGGCAGCAGUGGGGAAUAUUGCACAAUGGAGGAAACUCUGAUGCAGCGACGCCGCGUGAGUGAAGAAGUAAUUCGUUAUGUAAAGCUCUAUCAGCAGGGAAGAUAGUGACGGUACCUGACUAAGAAGCUCCGGCUAAAUACGUGCCAGCCGCCGCCGUAACAC